rnacentral:miRNA from 1 species
GCUAGGUGAGUGCUCUACCGCUGAGCCACAAUUCCAGCCCCACCUUUUUUCUUUUUUUCUUUUUUUUAAAAGGAAAGAAAAUCGGUGUUUUUCAGUUAUUAAUAUUUUAUUAUUUGUGGUACAUUAAAACAUAUAUAUAGGGCUGGGGAUGUGGCUCAAGCGGUAGCGCGCUUGCCUGGC